AUCAGUUUCUAUUUGUUUUCUCUGGUCUUCCUGGCGGCUUUCUCGCUAUUUCGCGCUUCUACGUGCUUCUGCGUCGGAGAAUAUUACGCUUGGACGUAAUAUAUUUACAUUAGUUGGCCGUAAUUGACAACGUACGUAUUGGCACGACCGUUAAUAAUUUUUGUCGUCGAAAAGAAAAUUUGAAGGUUUUUACUCGAGAUCGCACAUUUUAUAAACGAUUCAACUUAACCUAACCUAUUGUUCUGAUUGUGAGAACUCGAAGGAUUCGAGCUGGCUUGUCACGCCUAUACAUUGCCAAAGGUAAACCUAUUGUUCUGAUUGUGAGAACUCGAAGGAUUCGAGCUGGCUCGUCACGCCUAUACGUUGCCACAGUCUCAAUUGUGCUAUACGGAUAUUGUGCGAUCCCCGAAAUUGCUACAGAAACAACGCUUAUGCUAAAGAAUUGCUGAUUUAUUUUGUACAGCAAUUUAAGACGUUGUAUGGGGAGCAAUAUGUUUACAGUUACGAUCAACAUCCUCAAUAUAAGAAGAAUCAGAAAAUUUUGAAGCAUCCUAUACUCAAGAAGCCAAUUGUGUCAGAACUUCCUUUGGGUUGCCACAGCGAGCACCGAAUUCUACAAAUCCGCAUGUUUGAAUUAUCAAAUAAAAGGCCAGACAACUGUUGCUUCCUGACUGAUGCAACUAUCGUGAUGAUUAAGCACAUUGGAUUAAUGGAAAAUAAGAUUGUUGUUCUUGAUGCAGACUUUGUAGUAUUUUUUGACGACUUUUGUAAUCUCGUACCAGAAAAUUGGAUGGAUUUAGAAUCAAACAAAGUUUUUUGGCCUCCAAAACAGGUCAAAUUUAAUAAAAACAAAAUGCAUUAUCUACAUCCAAAAGAUGACUGGCUUAUAUACGAAUAGCGUAAACGUUUGGGACCUUUUGAGUCUUUUCAAUUAGCUAAUCAAGUAGAAGAGCACUGCAUGAACGUAUCUACAAAUGAAGAUACUGAUGACGUGUGACAAAGCUAUUAAGGCAUCUGAGGCACAAAAGAUAUGAAAUAGGAGAAAGCCAGCAUGGCUUCGGAACGAAACGUUGGCGUCGGAAGAAGAAGUAGAAGAAGAAGUAGAAGAAGAGGAAGAAGAGGAAGAGGAGGAGGAGGAGGAGGAGGAGGAGGAAGAAGAAGAAGUAACCGAAGAGAUAUGUAAAAGAGAUGGUACUGUAAACUCGUUUGUGUUACCACCAUCUAAUUAUCAGUCUACAAAUUCGGAUAAAUGUGAACUCUCUCCAGUAAAUGCAAAAUCGACAACCGUUAACUUUCUUUUGCAAACUGUUGAAGAAUUUGAAGGAUUUGAACGAAAUCUUGUCGAGUCCUUGGAAGUACAAAAAUUCUACAUUAAUGAGAUAAAGAUGAUCGGAGGAUCUGAUGUAGGCAAAUUCACCAGAGCCACAUUGCGCUUCUUAAUGUCGAAUCAGCUAGCAAUAAAGUAUUCUUGGUCCGGUCAAAGAAACACAUUAAAAUUUCAAACUACUCAAAUUUCUCAACUCAUUGUCGAAACCAUCUCGAAAAUGAAGAACGUUCCUAAGAACGACAUUGGGAUAUUUGUUAAGAAGUGGCUGCAGCACGCUAGUGACCGGAUAAAAAAAAGACCUAGAUUAUAUUAUAGGUAGAUUCAGGAAGCACAUUUUUGGCGUUAUUUUCAACUUUUAUCUCGCUCGAUUUGUACAAGCGAUGAUGUACGUAUUAUUUGUAACGGUAUGAAAAUGAGUUUAAUUUUGAUUUAAGAUGAAA